GGGCCACAAUUGAGUGGGCUCUAAAUCUUAGUGUGUGAGAAUUUUUAUUGGACUAUAAAGCUCAUCCGCUCCAUUUCUCUUUUUCUUCUCAAACAUAAGUGAGAGUGUGCGGCCAUCACAUGCCCGACAUAAAUGUUGCGUUCAAGACAUGACAGAUAGUUGUGAUGGAAAUGAUGUUGGCCGUGGUAAUGGCAAUGAUAGUAUUGGGGAUGAUGGUGAUGACAGACAU
rnacentral:lncRNA from 1 species